GCAUAUUUUCUUGCUUUAUAUUAUUAUUUAUUUGUUUUAGAAAUAUCUUUAUUUUUAGUAUAUUAAAGAACAAAGUUUUUAUUGUGAUAGCUUAUUAGUACCGUAGGGGAACUACUGAUGAAAUAUUUUGAAAAUUUUAAAUUCUUUUAAGUAGAUUUUAUUUAUUGUACCUUUUGUAUCAGGGUUGAUUAAAUAUAUUUAAUUUAUGUUCCGUUCUCGAUUUCAGAAGAGCUAUAUUUAAAUUGUAGUUGUUGUUUCAUAACCAUAGCUAAUUUAAUUUUAGAGGAGAAAUUCCAUUCGAUUUUAAAGGUAUCUAGUUUUUUAAGAAUUAAAUUUAAUUUAGACUUGAUUGUUAAGUGGUUAAUUUAUUAAUUACUUAUGUGUUAAUGUUGAGAUUUUAGGGGACAAGCUCUGGAUUAUAUACUAAAAGUAUAAAUUGAUAUUAUGUUUUGUAGGAUUUGAAACGUUCAUCAUUUGUAAGUUCGUUAUAGUUUAUUAUGUUUUGUAUUGAUUUUUUUGUGUUUUAGUAUUUUAUUAAAAUGAUGCUUUUAAUAUUAUAAAUUUUGCAAUAAUGAUUAAAUUAGUAUAGAAUUUUGUAUAUUAUAUUUAUUUUGAUAUAAUUAGAUAAGGAAUUCGGCAAAAAUAGUGCUCGCCUGUUUAUCAAAAACAUGUCCUCUUGUUUGUAUAGGAGGUCUGACCUGCCCGGUGAAUAGAUUUUAACGGCCGCGGUAUUUUGACCGUGCAAAGGUAGCAUAAUCAUUAGUCUUUUAAUAGAGGGCUGGAAUGAAAGGUUUGACGAGGUUCUAGCUGUCUCAUUUAAUUUGAGAUUAGAAUUUAACUUUUCAGUCAAAAGGCUGAGAUGAUAUUGGAAGACGAGAAGACCCUAUAGAGCUUUAUAGCUGUGGACUAUAGUUAGUUUUUGUUUAUGAUUACUAAUUAUAGUCCUAGCUAUUUUGUUGGGGUGACAAAAAUAUAUAAUCAACUUUUUUAUUAAUUUUACAUUGAUGUAUGAGUUUAGGAUCCAAUCUUAUUGAUUACUAGAUUAAGUUACCUUAGGGAUAACAGCGUAAUCUUCCUUCAGAGUUCAUAUUUACAGGAAGGCUUGCGACCUCGAUGUUGGAUUAAGAAAAUAAUUAGGUGUAGCCGCUGUAAUGUAUAGGAUCUUGUUCGACCUUUUAAUUCCUUACNU
rnacentral:rRNA from 1 species